rnacentral:rRNA from 1 species
UAAUUGAAGAGUUUGAUCAUGGCUCAGAUUGAACGCUGGCGGCAGGCCUAACACAUGCAAGUCGAGCGGUAACAUUUCAAGAGCUUGCUUUUGAAGAUGACGAGCGGCGGACGGGUGAGUAAUGGCUGGGAACCUGCCCUGACGUGGGGGAUAACAGUUGGAAACGACUGCUAAUACCGCAUGAUGUCUACGGACCAAAGAGGGGGAUCUUCGGACCUCUCGCGUCGGGAUGGGCCCAGUUGGGAUUAGCUAGUUGGUGAGGUAAUGGCUCACCAAGGCGACGAUCCCUAGCUGGUUUGAGAGGAUGAUCAGCCACACUGGAACUGAGACACGGUCCAGACUCCUACGGGAGGCAGCAGUGGGGAAUAUUGCACAAUGGGCGCAAGCCUGAUGCAGCCAUGCCGCGUGUGUGAAGAAGGCCUUCGGGUUGUAAAGCACUUUCAGCAGUGAGGAAGGUUGGUACGUUAAUAGCGUAUUAAUUUGACGUUAGCUGCAGAAGAAGCACCGGCUAACUCCGUGCCAGCAGCCGCGGUAAUACGGAGGGUGCGAGCGUUAAUCGGAAUUACUGGGCGUAAAGCGCAUGCAGGCGGUUUGUUAAGCAAGAUGUGAAAGCCCCGGGCUCAACCUGGGAACCGCAUUUUGAACUGGCAGGCUAGAGUCUUGUAGAGGGGGGUAGAAUUUCAGGUGUAGCGG